rnacentral:lncRNA from 1 species
CAGACCACGAAGGACGCAGCGUCUGAGAGGAGCCUCUCCACCCCCAACCACCCUGGGCAUCAUCACGCCAUCAGCCAGGCCGAGGCUCACCCAAUCUGUCGGCCACGGAUCCACGGCAGGAAGAAGACUAGUGUCCCAAAGACAGUCAACUGUGGAUGACACCAUUCCAACCACAGGUUCUGGGGAUCAGGCUCCGCUGCCCAGGGUGGAGACGAGUUCUUAGUCAUCAGGGCCCAGGAGUUGUUGUCAAACAUUGUCUCCAAAUGCUCCGACAUGGACAGCUGGGGCCGAGGCAGUGGUAGCCUUGGGGUUCACACUGAAGAAAGGGGUACGGAGAAGGAAGGGACAACAGCAAGGAAACUACCAGGUGCCCCCGACCCCGCAAAGAAAGAGAUGAAGUGAGACCUGGAGACCUGAUGGGACUAGAGGCGAGAGGAGGGCAGAAAGAGACCAUGAGAGGGACGAGCCAAGCCUAGAUGGGCACUGGCCUUGCUGGCCUAGACCAUAAAGCAAGUAUGCAGGAGAUGGAGAGGAGGGGGCGCAGGGCUCAGGGAGGGGAUGCGGAUUGGAGGGACACGGGGAGGGGGUUCAUUUUCACAGACUGCCGGAUCUGCCAGGGCGCUUUGCAUGAGAUCAGAUAGGUAGUGCUUCAGAGGGUUAGUAGAAAGAGGGGUUCCGUGAAAGGGGUGGGACUUUACGGAAGGUCGAAAGCGGGGCGCUCCCUGAGGGGGUCCAGCCCACCUGGUAGCCAACAGUUUGGAGGUGAACCCAUUGGCCUUGAGGAAAAAUAAGAAAGUCCGCUGGCUGUAGUUGUACCCGCAGCUCAGGACGCCACAGAUGGCCCUGGAAGUGGAGGUGUUGGUGAAGCCACCACCUCACCUUGAGUGUGGCUUUCGGGACUUGACAGCCCACUCACCCCAGGGCCACAAAAAAGAAGAUCUCUGGCAAGUCAAAGGGUAUGUCCACUGGAAAGCUGGUCUUGUAGAUGGAGGUGAUGGUCUCUGGGGAAGGAAGAGAGUGGGGAUCCCGUGCCAGCCUUCCACACCCUAACCCAGUCUCAGAAUAACUCGGGCAAGGAUGGGGGUGGCUUCUGACCCAACCUCAAAUUUCCCUGGAACUCUAGGCACCGCAGUGGCUCUCAUCCUAAGGAUUUUGGGGAUCACAUAUCAGAUAUCCUGCAUAUCAGAUAUUUAUAUUUCCAUUCAUAACAGUCACCAAGUAACGGGCUGGGGAAAUGGCUCAGCGGUUAAGAGCACUGACUGCUCUUCUAGAGGUCCUGAGUUCAAUUCCCAGCAACCACACGGUGGCUCACAACCAUCUGUAAUGGGAUCCAAUGCCCUCUUCUGGUGUGUCUGAAGAGUACAGUGUACUCAUAUACAUAAAUAAAUCUUUUUAAAAAAAAGUAAAAAAAAAAAAAA